AUGAAGGAAAAGAAGCACCAAGCCAGCAAGAUUAUGUAUCCCAUAACUGUUAGGAACACCACAGCACCCAACAGUCACACAAAACAGCAUGCAAAAAUGGAACUCAGUUGGCAUAAAGUUUCCUUCAUACAUAAUAUCUUGGCAAGAAAGCAAACCCUUUAUUACAACAUGUGGUUGGGAAGAUUACCCCUCCAAAUGCAGAUUACAAAUCAUCCUCAAAAACUAGUUACCAACUACACAAAAAAGUGCAGUGGAGUUCAAUACAACCAAUUCAAUUGUCAUCCUUUUUAUAUCUCUCUAUCACUAAACAUACAAUUAAUCUCUUUUAACAUCCCACCAGUAUAA